rnacentral:rRNA from 1 species
AGCGAACGCUGGCGGCAGGCCUAACACAUGCAAGUCGAACGAACCUUUCGGGGUUAGUGGCGGACGGGUGAGUAACACGUGGGAACGUGCCUUUAGGUUCGGAAUAACUCAGGGAAACUUGUGCUAAUACCGAAUGUGCCCUUCGGGGGAAAGAUUUAUCGCCUUUAGAUCGGCCCGCGUCUGAUUAGCUAGUUGGUUGAGGUAAUGGCUCACCAAGGCGACGAUCAGUAGCUGGUCUGAGAGGAUGAUCAGCCACAUUGGGACUGAGACACGGCCCAAACUCCUACGGGAGGCAGCAGUGGGGAAUAUUGCGCAAUGGGCGAAAGCCUGACGCAGCCAUGCCGCGUGAAUGAUGAAGGUCUUAGGAUUGUAAAAUUCUUUCACCGGGGACGAUAAUGACGGUACCCGGAGAAGAAGCCCCGGCUAACUUCGUG